AGCCCUGAAGUGUUUGACAUAUUAGAUUGCAAAUCUGAAGGAGUAGGCUAACGCCUGCCGGGGCUUUCCC
rnacentral:tRNA from 1 species